GCCUUCAUGAAGCCGGAAUUGCUAGUAAUGGCAGGUCAGCAUACUGCCGUGAAUACGUUCCCGGGCCUUGUACACACCGCCCGUCACACCAUGAGAGUUGGGAAUACCCGAAGCCUGUGAGCUAACUAUACGAGGCAGCAGGUCGAAGGUAGAAUCAAUGAUUGGGGUGAAGUCGUAACAAGGUAAC
rnacentral:rRNA from 1 species